rnacentral:rRNA from 1 species
AUUGAACGCUGGCGGCAUGCCUUACACAUGCAAGUCGAACGGCAGCGCGGGAGCAAUCCUGGCGGCGAGUGGCGAACGGGUGAGUAAUAUAUCGGAACGUGCCCAGGAGUGGGGGAUAGCCCGGCGAAAGCCGGAUUAAUACCGCAUACGAUCUAUGGAUGAAAGCGGGGGAUCGCAAGACCUCGCGCUCAUGGAGCGGCCGAUAUCUGAUUAGCUAGUUGGUGGGGUAAGAGCCCACCAAGGCAACGAUCAGUAGCUGGUCUGAGAGGACGACCAGCCACACUGGGACUGAGACACGGCCCAGACUCCUACGGGAGGCAGCAGUGGGGAAUUUUGGACAAUGGGGGCAACCCUGAUCCAGCAAUGCCGCGUGUGUGAAGAAGGCCUUCGGGUUGUAAAGCACUUUUGUCCGGAAAGAAAUCCCCUGGGAUAAUACCCCAGGGGGAUGACGGUACCGGAAGAAUCAGCACCGGCUAACUACGUGCCAGCAGCCGCAGUAAGAC